UGGGAGAGGAAGAAGCAGGCUCACAGCAGAGGAGCCUGAUGUGGGGCUCGAUCCCAUAACGCCGGGAUCACGCCCUGAGCCGAAGGCAGACGCUCAACCGCUGUGCCACCCAGGCGCCCCGAUAACUUUUAUUCUUAACCUUGACUUGAUGGGAAGCAUGACUCUUUGCUGGAAAUAAAUUACUCAAGGACCUUUCAAAUUUGAGGGAGACGCUGCAAGGAUCUGCUAUCACAGAUAUGGAGAGUGGGAAGAAGCGUCCAGACACCAUUAAAAGCAUGAAUGUGUAGUGUUGGAAGGAAGGAAAUAUCACGAAGAAACCUAUCUGUCUCAGCCUGGGGUUUAUCGUGGGGGAAUGAGGGAACAGCGUCUCCCCUGAGAAUCUGUGAUCAUAGACCUGCCUUCACACAGUUUGGUUGGAAAAGCAAUGGCUUUGAUUUAUUAGCACCUGAAAGCCUUACAGUCCAGCUCACUGAAUGUGGUGCUUAGAGUAUUGAUGGAAAAUUCAUGGAGUGGUGUUUGAUGCCAAACGGGUGCGUGCUUGUUCCUGUGAUGAGUUCGGAGCAACUGCCAUCUGCGCAAUGGGAGGUCUGAAACUGAAAAGGGAAGGGGAAGACUGAAUGUAUUCUGAAAAGGGUCCUUGAGAAGUAGUCUUUUGACUUUCAGUACAUCAUAAACAGAAGGCAGCAGUGGAAAUUUUUUCAGGAGAAAUUGCACAAGCAGGGACUAAAAUGGUGGGUUGACUGGGAAGACCACACGUUCUCUGGGAAGCUGGAGAAGCAGCCCCUGACAUCUCCAAGGCUCAUAGCCAAACUAUUCCGAGAUCAUAAAGGAAAAGAACUCCUCUCUCCCAGAAUCGGUUUCUUCAAAGGUCCAGAGGCCUUUGUUACUAGCCAAACUUGGCUUGUGUUCCAGUUCCUCUGGCCAGAGGAGUGGAGUCUUUAACCAGAGAAGGAACGUCCCCCAGUUGGAAAUAAGCUCGUCUGCUAAGAGAGCAAUGGAACACGGGACGUAGUGAAAAUCGGAAAUGCCCUUUUCUGGAGACAGAGAAAGUGGGGACCGAUGAAAGACAGUGAUUGAUUUCUGAGCAACCCUGAGGUUCGACUGCGAUUCGAGAUCAUGGAUUCAGAGGGCACACAACUAGAGGAAGGUGUGGCUACGCAGAGGCUACCCUAUGUGACCACGGGACCGUGGAAACGCUAUGCCUCGCUCUAAGGGUACACUCGAUGCAUAUAGAAUGACUGGACCGUUUAAUCACUUUUAUCUUGAGUUUAUAUGAAAUUCGUCUUGUUUUCUUUUUAAGAAUUUUUUAUUCAUUCUCUCUAAAUCAUUACCUGCAUGUUUUCGGUAUGUCUCCUGUGGAGUACGUGGUAACGUGGUAGGAGAUUGCUCGUUUUGAAAAUCUUCGGAUCUGUAGGGAAAUUGAGGGAGUAGUAAAAUGAGCACCUUCCUGCCAGUCACGGACAUUCAGUAAUUAACAUCUUCCCACAGUUUCUGUCUCCUGUGUCUUUUCACAAACACUCGCUUUUUUUAUCCCGAACUCCUCGAAACUUGAAGCUGGAGACGACGAGACACCUCCGUGCUAAGGACUUCAGCCUGCGUCUCGGGCUAAUUGGGGCGUCGUCCUACGUCACCACAGCAGCACGACUUUUACCCCUUAGAGACUCAACGUUAAUCUCAACGAGGCUUCAGUUCAUAUUUGGUUCCCACUUGGCCCCAAAGUGCCUUUCAAUCCAAACAGUCUGAAGGAGAGUAUUUGAAAACUAAAUUUUAAAUUAAUUUAGCAAAUUUUGAAGUGCCCUUUAGCAGUCGGCUUAAUGUUGAAAUCUUGUUGCCUUCGGCAGGGCUUUUUCCAAUCUCUCUAGGUUGUCAUUCUGGAUGCACGCGGCAACGUAUAGUAUCUUAAAUGUGUGUAUACAUCUAAAACUUACAUUUGUAUUGGCUUUUGUUUUCCUGAUAUACUUAAGCGGUACCUUCCUCCUUCCCAGUUUAAUGACCAACCUUUCCAACCUUCAUUUUUGACUCUAGGUGGGUAUUAUGGGAGAGAUGUAAAGCAUCUGCCUCAUUUCUUCAACUACCAGUUAAAGUCUGUAUUUGUGUAUAUAUUAUAAACGGUUCCUUUCAUUGUUCAAAUGGUAAAUGUGACUUAAUAUUUGCCCAGGUGGAUAAGAUAGCUGUUUUAUGGGUAUAUUAGAACUGUUAGUUAAUAAAAUCUAACUCAGAGGAAGGUAUCUCACGUAGAAAUUCAAUUUACCUUUUGUAAAAUUGGAAAUACUAGUGACUCAUGUCCUCUAGAGGAAGAAUACUCUAGGAAACACUGGGGCGUGCCUAAAUAUAAUACAAACAUAACUCCUUAUCAAGGAGUUGGAAUUCUAAAACAACAUGGAAACAGACAUGUAAAUAAAAGAAUUGAUAAUGAAAGGGAGCACGUACAUUGAGGCUGUUUGCCAAAUGCAGGAAUA